rnacentral:rRNA from 1 species
GACGAACGCUGGCGGCGUGCCUAAUACAUGCAAGUCGAACGCAUUUUCUUUCACCGUAGCUUGCUACACCGAAAGAAAAUGAGUGGCGAACGGGUGAGUAACACGUGGGUAACCUGCCCAUCAGCGGGGGAUAACACUUGGAAACAGGUGCUAAUACCGCAUAAUUCCAUUUACCGCAUGGUAGAUGGAUGAAAGGCGCUUUUGCGUCACUGAUGGAUGGACCCGCGGUGCAUUAGCUAGUUGGUGGGGUAACGGCCUACCAAGGCUGCGAUGCAUAGCCGACCUGAGAGGGUGAUCGGCCACACUGGGACUGAGACACGGCCCAGACUCCUACGGGAGGCAGCAGUAGGGAAUCUUCGGCAAUGGACACAAGUCUGACCGAGCAACGCCGCGUGAGUGAAGAAGGUUUUCGGAUCGUAAAGCUCUGUUGUUAGAGAAGAACAAGGAUGAGAGUGGAAAGUUCAUCCCUUGACGGUAUCUAACCAGAAAGCCACGGCUAACUACGUG